UUCCGGUUGAUCCUGCCGGACCCCACUGCUAUCGGGAUAGGACUAAGACAUGCUAGUCGCGUGCUUCAGCCAAAACGAGGCACGGCAAACAGCUCAGUAACACGUGGCUAAUCUGCCCUUAGGACGCGAACAACCCCGGGAAACUGGGGCUAAUUCUCGAUAGGUGAAGAACUCUGGAAUGAGUCUUUGCCUAAAAGAGCUUACGUUAUGCUCGUAAGUUUCGCCUAAGGAUGAGGCCGCGACCGAUCAGGUUGUUGGUGGGGUAAUGGCCCACCAAGCCUGCGAUCGGUACGGGCAGUGAGAGCUGAAGCCCGGAGUUGGGGACUGAGACAAGGCCCCAGGCCCUACGGGGCGCAGCAGGCGCGAAACCUCUGCAAUGCGGGAAACCGUGACAGGGGGAUCCCAAGUGCUCAUGCAUUGCAUGGGCUGUUCUUUGGUCUAAGUAACCAGAGGAGUAAGGGCUGGGCAAGACCGGUGCCAGCCGCCGCGGUAAUACCGGCAGCUCAAGUGGUAGCCGCGAUUAUUGGGCCUAAAGCGUUCGUAGCGGGAUAAGUAAGUCUUUGGUUAAAUCCUGCGACUUAACCGUGGGAAAUCUAGAGAUACUGCUUGUCUUGAGACCGGGAGAGGUUGGAGGUACUCCCAGGGUAGGGGUGAAAUCCUGUAAUCCUGGGGGGACCACCUGUGGCGAAGGCGUCCAACUGGAACGGGUCUGACGGUGAGGGACGAAACCUAGGGGAGCGAGCCGGAUUAGAUACCCGGGUAGUCCUAGGCGUAAAUGAUGCGAGUUAAGUGUGGGGGCAUCCACGAGAUGGCCCUGUGCUGUAGGGUAGCCGUUAAACUCGCCGCCUGGGGAGUACGGUCGCAAGGCUGAAACUUAAAGGAAUUGGCGGGGGAGCACCACAAGAGGUGGAGGCUGCGGUUCAAUUGGAUUCAACGCCGGG
rnacentral:rRNA from 1 species